CUGUGCUUGGCAGGGCAGGUUGGCUAAAGCUAUGUGGUCUUAAAUUCUUCUAGAAACAUAAUAGGAUAUGAAAGCCAGGUGCAGGGAGGUGUUUUUUCUGAAUUAAAAAUUAACCUGAUUUGUGUGGGAGAUCUUAGCGUGUCUGGUUUGCAGUAGUUUGUAGCUGUGCCUGAGCUAGGGAUAUUAGUCAGAAGUGUUGGAUUAUUCAUGAUGAAGAAGAGCAUAGUUCUGGCUAACAUCAGUGGUCACCGUUAUCCAUCGUCUGUCUUGGAACACUUGGGGUCAUUCUGGUUGCCUUGAGAUCCCACUUGCAAUGGCUUCUUGCUAGUGAGGAAGGUGCAGUGAUUGCUGGCAGCCCGGAAGCACGUUUUCCUUCUGUGGCUGUGAUGUUUAUUGCAUAAUGAAACCACGGUGUGGGAUUUGAGCUGCAAAUAACUCGGAAACUUUGAGCCCUUAACCAUCCUCCCUUGGAGAAGCUGUUGCACGCCUGGCUUCUGGUUACGUGGGAUACCUAUUGCAGCACCCAGUGUUUAUUUUUCUGCUUUUGCAUUUGAAAACAUUCACUGCGUGUUUGCCACAGCUCUCCUGCCUCACGGCUGCCCUCUGAAGCAGCUCCAGGCUGCACUUCCAUGCUGUCCCCACACGGUGGGUGCGUGGAUGCGCCCGGUGCUUCCCUGCAGGAGGAGCAGCUCUGGGGCUGAGCUCUGCGCUCCCACCGGCGGUGCAGCCUCAGUGAAGGUAUUCCCCCCGGGGCUUUGAUCCUUAUUUAGUAUUACGUCUGUCGGAAGAGUUCAGAAGUUUUUUAUUUCACGUGAGCAGUGGUUGACUGCAUUCCAUGUGACAGCUGAUUACCACUGAGCAUCUUCAGCAAAGUUUCGUUUCUAAUCAACCUGGCUGCCAGGAGAUUUCUCUUUGUCUCUCAGAAGACAUGUAUUCAGACCAUCAAUCCAUCUGUUCCAGUAAAAUGUGUGCCAGUGUGUAGGUAAAUAAGAGAAACAGAGCUCUGACUUAUUAAAUUUCUAGUGCGGGCCGUGGCGUUAUAAGCUUUUGAUCAGAUACAUUCUUUUCUCGAGCUCAAUCCAAUAUUCCCGGGUGGCAGCUCUUUCUUCAGGCUUUUUAUUUAUUAUUUAUUUAUUUAUCUUAACCCUUCUUAUUUUAUGCAGUUCUUUCCCAUCAGUUUUCUCCCAGCAGGCGCCCCUGCUUGGCUCACACUGUUGGAAACUGUAGGUGCUGUGCAGGAACUGCUCUCAGGUCAAAGAACAGCUGGGUGCGUCUUUAAAAGCGUAUAUUUCCUUUCUGCAAUUAAUGUAAUUAACUUAGGCAUAAAUGAGGAAAUUAAUUGUAUAAACAAACAACUCUUCUCCAAGUCCCAUCAGCUCAUUAAAAUAAGAUUCUGGAGAUGCCUUCUCCCCAAGCAGGUGCCCGUACUGCCAGAUCACAUUUAGCAGAGGUGCUCAGUCUCACCAGGACGAUGUGAUCUUGCACGACACUUUAUUUUUAUUGAACAGCCGUUCUGCACGUAGCUUGCUGUGGUGUUUGCUCCAAGGGCUCCUUCUCAACCAGCUUCUUAAAGAUCCGUGUGCAGCUGGAGGAGCAAGCAGAAGUGCCAAGCUGCCAUGGAAGUCAGCUGGAAUUAGGAAAUCAAUUAACUCCAAAAAGCAUUACCACUUCGGUCAACUGUUCGCUUCUCUGCCUCUUUUUAUUCUCUGUGGCUUCUUCCAUCUUAGAUGUGCAGAUGAUUUAAGUUUUAAUUUGUUACCCUGUAUUAGCACAACAAAAGGUGUUCUAAAUUCACCAGAGUUACCUUGCAAUUAGCUCCAGGCUGCACUUUUGCAUAAGCACGGAAACCCAGCUGCUUUAUGAGGAGUUGUUCUUGCAUGAUAACUUACUCACAUGUAUGUCUGAACUCUUAGAAAAUAUUGCCUUGGGGACUGGCUUUCUAAAUGAACCAUGAAAAUCCUCUUUGUUAGGCAGGGAAACCGGAAUGUGGGUCCUGUCCUCAGCACAACUGGGCAGUCUGGACAAGAGCUCUGGGCAGCUGCUCAGCCCUGGAGCACGGGGAUCAGGAGCAUCAUCUGUGUGGUCUGUUGAGUCUCCUAUGGAUAGAUUAAUGAACCUGCCUGCAUCUAUUUCUGGUAUUUUUAAGUUUGCCCAUCCAGGAGCUGGAAUUCUGGAAAGGCCCUGAAGGUGUUGGAAGGCCACACAUGAUUCCACUCAGUGACAGUCCCAGCAUCUCUCCCCUCCCCAAAGUCUGGAGUGGGAUCUUCAGCCAUCCUGGGAGAUGAUGUUCCACUGGGCAUCCAUGGGACUUCCACACUUCUAAUGACUGAAACACCUUCAGAAAUCCCAUCCUUAGCAUUCCUCAUUACUGCCUCAUUUCCAGAAGUGCUUAGCAGCUUUGCCUGGGCUUUACUGUUGGAUAUCACUCAGAUGAAAUCUUCUCAAUCUCCUCUCUUAAUGAUGGUAAGUGCUGCGGGAGCUGUGCUGAGGACACUUAAAACCAGGGCUGACACUUAUGGAUUAAAUCUUUUGAAACACCUGGCAAAAAACACUGAGUAGAGAUGAAGCCUCCUGCUAUUCCAGCAUUCCCCUUUGUCAAGCAUUCAAUUCCCUGUUUGAUCUACAGGAUCCAAACAAAUGAGCGUUUGCCUGUUUUAUCCGGUGUCUAAUUAAAUAUGAAGAUUACAGAUGUACUCCAACUGAAAAACGAAUGCUGGUAUUUUUUCACUGAGAUCUGGAUUUAUAAUGAAAUGAUUACUUUCAAAUUAGGAGAAUUAGAAGUUACAGUGUUUGUACUUGUGAUUGCUACCAACUGCGUAUAUUUGCAUCUCAUGUUUUUUAUACAAUCACUAGCCCUCUUUUGUAGAGAAUUGCUCUGAGAUGACGAUGGUGCCCUUCUGAGGUUUUGUUUCCUGUACCUUUUGACUGAGUGCAAUGCAUGGAGGAGAAGCUGAGGUUAAUGUGUCACAUUUCCAGUUCCAGGAACUGAACUCAAUCUGAAGUCUCAAAUGCCAUCCUAAAAAUAAGAUUUGGGGUUGUUACAGCUGCCUUCUUGCCUAUAGCUUUAAUUUCUAAUGAGUUUCACAAACUCAACAUAACAUUAAUAUGUAGUUUGGUAUUUUUCCCUUCAAGAAUAUUUUUCAGUCACUCCUUUGGUUUAGAACAUCUGCGGAAGCCUUUAGCAAUGUUCUUCCUUCCAAAUGGCUGCUGAUGAAGAUAAGGUGAAAUGAUAACCAUCUGCAGAAAUCCCCAUUCCUCUGAAAAGAGGGAAUAAUGGAGAAAGUCUGCCACCUGGUAAGCAGGGCUUCAUGCUCUGCAGCUGGCAUGUCCAAGCAGGGAAGCACUGCUCAGCUGCUUUUCAUGGGUCCUAAAACAAGAAAGCUUUGAGGCAGAUGAUCUUUAAGGUCUCUUCUGACCCAAGCCAUUCUAUAAUUCCAUGAAGGAGGAAAGAGAAACAGUUGCAAACAGUGAUGGAAAAGAUCUUCUGCGAUUCACUUGGUAUGCAGAGCCCGGAACAGCUGAGCGUGAGCAGAGCAUGGUGGCAGAUGGAGCUUUGUUUCCUGGAGAUGAAGCAGAAUAGCAGAGAGGGAAGGCAGGGCCAUGCUGUUUGCGGGCAGAGCCCCUUGGUUACAGCAUUGGCUGCUACUGUGAGCCUUUAUCGUCUUCCAGGAGACCUUGGGUGAACUGCAGCCUGAAUUACUGGCAUUAGAAAAGACUUUGCAGGCUGGUUUGUCUUGACUCACGCAUGUUAUCUUCAGUAUCGAAUAGAUAUUUGGCAAAUUAAUGAAAGGAAGAAAGAGAUCUUGUUCAUUUCGUUAAGACCUAUAUAUAGAACAUCAUAUUAAUAUGGGGGAAAAUGUCUGCAAUCUUUAUUGCAGGCUUACCAUAACCUGGCAUAAAAGUAAUGUGCAAUAUAAAUGUGUUUAUACAUUAGUGUAUCUUGUUAAACCAUUUAAAGUUAACUAAUGUUUGGCCGUUUUGAAACUUUAAUUAGCAUUUAACAAGAAAGCAACAGUAUAGCCAAUUAGAGAUCUAAGCAAUAACACACACACACAUACUUCAAUUUUCUAGCAAUUAAUUGAUAACUAGUUUACCGUGGGCUAAUAAUUAAAUGAGAAAACAUUCUGAGCAAAUUGAAAGCACUGAUGCAAAUGAGUUCUGCAUUUAUUCUUUUCAAAUUCACUGACCACAUUAUCUAAUCUGUCAGGAACAGAGAAAUCCUGAAUUAUGCUGAGCAUUUACUCAAGCCGACUAACCAACCCGUACAGCAGCGCUUGUCACUUUCUGGAAGCUUUCAUUGCUCUGCUGAAGGAAAGCCUUAAAGUGCAGCACUGAGGCUGAUAGGGGAAGGGAACGUGGAUGCUCAGCUCCUGCCUCUGCACCUUUCCCAAGGAGAAGUCAUCCCAACCAAGUCAUAAGAUGAAGGCAUUGCCAUUUCAGAUGCGCGGUGUUGGCAGCACUGUCUGUGUUCUGCCAGCAGAGAGAAAUAAAUGACAAAUUUGACAAAGAGGAAUAUAAAUUGGCAGAAUGGUUUGGUAUGUUCUGUCUGUGAAAACGGAGGACGUUUUUCUGUAAACUGCAGCAGUGAUCAUUGGGAAUUGCUCCUUACAAGCAGGAAAUGUCCCCAUCGUUCCUAUUUGAAAUAGAGCAAUCUCCAGCACACGGAGGAUGAAGGCUCGUUUUGUCCCGAGGUUUGUCCAUUUGUGAUAUCUCCCUCAUCUGGACAGGCAGUAAGAUGAAAUUGCCUGAGCUCCAUUAAGUUUAAACACAAGCUAUCUGCUCAAGCAGAACGUGCCCAAAGAUAGUGGUUCCCAGUAUCACCAUCACCCCGAGCACUGCGAAACUGCCGCGUCAGUACGCUCAGCUGUAAACUCUGAACGCUUCAACUGCCUUCCCAACACUGGAGCUGGAAAAUAAUGGGGUAUUUUAAGAGGCUUAUCUUCUUCACAAGACAUGAGGCAAUAUUUUCAUUUGUUUACCUUGUCUUAGUUAGGAGGUGCUGUUUUAUUAGUGUGAAAUUUGUACGCGGGGCAGCAUGGCAUUGCUUAAAUAAGUACUGAGUGAAAUAAUUAGUGUUCAGAUUUUGAUGUACUGUGCCUUCACUGAUGGCUGUGGGUGAUGGAUAGAGAGUACCUGCUAUGUUCAGUUCCUCCUUGAGAGCUCAGCUCCCACCUUCCAUGCAUGCGUGGCCUCAGGAGAGCAACCUUCCCUAGCCCCAGUAGGGGGUUACUUUAGGAAACAUCUGCUUUAAAAGCUUCCAAAAGCUUUUCCCCAGUCUGAAAUAGCUCCACCAAUAGGGGGAAGAGCAAUCUGACCUGUUGUUUGAAGAUCUCACUGUAAGAGCAUCUGCUUACUUGGAGACUUUCUAGUAUUUGAGUGUCCUCUUCCUCUGGAGCACUGUCUGCCUUAGUGUUGGGCUUGGCAGUGCUAAGGAACAAGGGCAAGGCAGACCUUCCCCUUACAAACUUCAUUCAUUCCCAACAGCUGCUGCUAACACAAAUAUUAUCGUGCUAUAUAUACAUAGCUAUAACCUGAAGUCAUGCACAGUGCCAGUUUUUACUGGCAUUUUCUGUACAGGCAUUAAUGGAGCUAAAACUAACUGGAAAAUAAAACAGUGAAAGGUUCAUAUCUCAUGUAGAUGACAGUGCUAAUGCAAAUUUAUUUUGGUUUGAUUAAGUAUUGAAUAUAAUUAUUAAAUAUGUAGUUUCAUGAAUAAACAGUUCAUGAUUUAGUAUCUAGAAGAAAAUGAUCUAUCAGGAAAAAUGUUAUUUAUUCAAUAGGAAAUAACCAUAUCUGAUUAUUAAGAAGGUUACUUUUCACAGUUAAAAAGAAAUCCAAGUUUCACACAACAGUCCUGGACAUUUCAGGUAAAGAAAUAAUAAUAAAUUAUUCCUCAAUGGGCAAACUGGAAGUUCUGAAAUUUGACAACGUGGUGAUUUGCUGUAGUGAUUGCUAAGUGAUUUUGUUUAUGGAGUUUUUCAUCUAUUUGUGAUUGGUUCAAAUCUCCCUUUGAAACUCGUGGCUGUGUGGGAGGAGUGGAUGCUGUGGCUGUGCCUCCCACGGUGCAUCUCAGGCAAUGACCUGCAUUCAGCUCAUAUCAAUAUGAUAACACUGCAGUGGCUUUUCUGUGUUUCAGACUUGCUAGUUCCUCCUGGAGUUGAAAUGGAGACUUGGGGCAGUCACAGUGCACGGCACUGUUUUUAGGAUCCAGCUGUGUCCCUCAAACAUUUCCAGGGAGCAUCUGGGAAAUCAGGUAUUAAGGUGAUGCCAGGGAUGGUUUCUGUUGGGUAGCACCUCGGGCAGUGCAGAUGUUCUUUAUUCCUUGUUAUCAAUAACAUGAUUUCCCUAUUAUCAUCACUAUUUUUAUUUAUGGCUGCUCUGUGGCUUUGGCUGUGCUCACCGUUGCAGUCCCUCUAUGCCCAUGGUGGCUAUGUGAGAGCAGCCAUAUGGGGCUGAGGAAUCUGGGGGUUCCCAGCCUGUCCUGCUGCAAAUAAGAGCAUCCCCUUCAGCACGGACAGCUUCUGCCUGGAGGUAUUCCAUAGCAGGCUGGAUUUGAUUCGUUGCUGUGAAGCUGUAGGUGCUCUUAAAAAUCCACAAAGCUGUCAGAUGUUGUGAGCCCUGCAGAACCACCUUUUCAUCCUCUGGAGUUUCAUCUAGUCCUGUUUGAAAUCAAGGAUGGAGUGCUUUAUAAAGGUUCCUGUCAAGGACCACAUGCUGCAGGUGUCCUGGAGUGAGAGGUGGCAGCAGGAGACCUGUGGUCACUGCCAAAGCUGGCUGUGAUUGAUGGUCGUGGGCUGCCUGACCCCAGCCCACAGGGAAGGCAGUAAAUCACCACUGUGUGUCCUAUGGAGUAAUCUUCUCUGGUUCUUCUGCUCUGAAAGUCAGGGUGCUGUGUGUCCUUGGCAGGAGUCCCUAACUGAAAGGAGAGGUGUUUUGCUGGCA